GGGGGGGGGGGGGGGGGGGGUGGGGGGGGGGGGGGCGGGGGGGGGGGCGCUGCUGGUGUGGGGUGCUCGAGUGGCGAACGGGGGAGUAACACGUGAGUAACCUGCCCUUGACUUUGGGAUAACUUCAGGAAACUGGGGCUAAUACCGGAUAGGAGCUCCUGCUGCAUGGUGGGGGUUGGAAAGGUUCGGCGGUUGGGGAUGGACUCGCGGCUUAUCAGCUUGUUGGUGGGGUAGUGGCUUACCAAGGCUUUGACGGGUAGCCGGCCUGAGAGGGUGACCGGCCACAUUGGGACUGAGAUACGGCCCAGACUCCUACGGGAGGCAGCAGUGGGGAAUAUUGCACAAUGGGCGGAAGCCUGAUGCAGCAACGCCGCGUGCGGGAUGACGGCCUUCGGGUUGUAAACCGCUUUCGCCUGUGACGAAGCGUGAGUGACGGUAAUGGGUAAAGAAGCACCGGCUAACUACGUG
rnacentral:rRNA from 1 species